GUGGUGGUUCAGUGGUAGGAUUCUAGCCUCAAAUGCAGGAGACCUGGGUUCAAUUCCCAGCUGAUACA
rnacentral:tRNA from 1 species